GUGAUGAAAGCUGAAGUCAUUUGUUUAGCCCCAGAACAGGUAUGGUACUGCUCCAAGAACGUACGUACCUCACUUCUGAGCUGGAAAGACCACCUGUAGGGAUGAAAGGGCACCUCAGGACCCAGGUCCAUUCAGGCCUUGGCUUCC
rnacentral:sRNA from 1 species